rnacentral:rRNA from 1 species
CACGUAGGGGGCGAGCGUUGUCCGGAAUCAUUGGGCGUAAAGAGCUCGUAGGCGGCUCGGUAAGUCGGGUGUGAAACCCCCAGGCUCAACCUGGGGACGCCACCCGAUACUGCUGUGGCUAGAGUCCAGUAGGGGAGUGUGGAAUUCCCGGUGUAGCGGUGAAAUGCGCAGAUAUCGGGAGGAACACCAGCGGCGAAGGCGGCACUCUGGGCUGGAACUGACGCUGAGGAGCGAAGGCCAGGGGAGCAAACGGG